rnacentral:rRNA from 1 species
ACAGAGGGUGCGAGCGCUAAUCGGAAUUACUGGGCGUAAAGCGUGCGUAGACGGUUAUUUAAGUCGGGUGUGAAAGCCCCGGGCUCAACCUGGGAAUUGCAUUCGAGACUGAAUAGCUAGGGUACGGUAGAGGGAAGUGGAAUUUCCGGUGUAGCGGUGAAAUGCGUAGAUAUCAGGAGGAACACCGGUGGCGAAGGCGGCGACCUGGUCCAAUAUUGACACUCAUACACGAAAGCGUGGGGAUCAAACAGGA